rnacentral:rRNA from 1 species
GAUGAACGCUAGCGGCAGGCCUAACACAUGCAAGUCGAGGGGUAACUAGAGUGAUAGCAAUAUUACUUUGGCUAGACCGGCGCACGGGUGCGUGACACGUAUGCAACCUACCUUAUACUGGGGAAUAACUUCGAGAAAUCGGCGCUAAUACCCCAUAACAUUGCGAAGAGGCAUCUCUUUGCAAUUAAAGCUCCGGCGGUAUAAGAUGGGCAUGCGUCCAAUUAGCUAGUUGGUGAGGUAACGGCUCACCAAGGCUACGAUUGGUAGGGGUUCUGAGAGGAUGAUCCCCCACACUGGUACUGGGACACGGACCAGCCUCCUACGGGAGGCAGCAGUGAGGAAUAUUGCGCAAUGGACGAAAGUCUGACGCAGCCAUGCCGCGUGCAGGAUGACGGCCCUAUGGGUUGUAAACUGCUUUUGUACGGGAAUAAACCCUUCUACGUGUAGGAGGCUGAAGGUACCGUAAGAAUAAGCACCGGCUAACUCCGUGCCAGCCGCCGCCGUAAAAC